AUUGAACGCUGGCGGCAUGCUUUACACAUGCAAGUCGAACGGUAACAGGCCGCAAGGUGCUGACGAGUGGCGAACGGGUGAGUAAUGCAUCGGAACGUGCCCAGUCGUGGGGGAUAACUACUCGAGAGAGUAGCUAAUACCGCAUACGAUCUAUGGAUGAAAGCGGGGGACCGUAAGGCCUCGCGCGAUUGGAGCGGCCGAUGUCGGAUUAGGUCGUUGGUGGGGUAAAGGCUCACCAAGCCAACGAUCUGUAGCUGGUCUGAGAGGACGACCAGCCACACUGGGACUGAGACACGGCCCAGACUCCUACGGGAGGCAGCAGUGGGGAAUUUUGGACAAUGGGCGCAAGCCUGAUCCAGCAAUGCCGCGUGCAGGAAGAAGGCCUUCGGGUUGUAAACUGCUUUUGUACGGAACGAAACGGCUCUGGUUAAUACCCGGGGCUAAUGACGGUACCGUAAGAAUAAGCACCGGCUAACUACGUG
rnacentral:rRNA from 1 species